AAAUAUUUAUUUACUUUAUUUUGGAAGGAUUGUCCAACCAUCCCACCCAAGCUAUUGCUAUCAAACUUAAAAUAAAAUCUUAUUAGUUUGUUUUAUGUCUUUACAAAUGUUAAAGAGAUUGUAGAAAAUAUACCUGAACUCAGAAUCGUCUAUAAAGUACAACUUCUUUUAAAACAUAAGGGAUCAAUAUCAGGGGACAAAAAUAUUCAUAAACUGCACUCGUCCUGCAGGACGAGUGCAUUAAAAUUUUCACUCGUCCUGCAAACACACGCACUCGUCCUUCAAAUAUGUGUGAAAUAAAGAUUGCAAAGGGCUGAUAUGACUUAUAAAAUUUCCUAAAGUAUAUCACUGCUAAGCAGUGAAAUAAGUUACUUUAUUUAUGAGGAACACAAAAUAAAUAUUUUUUUCUAAUGCUCGCGUGCUUUCCGUUUCGGACGUUUGAACAUCGCCCCCGCCCCCUUUUAAGAACGCUCGUAAGGCACACAUUUUUCAAACGAAAUUCAGACUGGUUUAAAUCUGGUUUAAAACCGUACUUCACGCUUAAAUAAUUCUUUAAAAGUCAAUACUUACAGUGACUGCAGUCGCAUGGUUCCCUGUCAACAUGUACGCGCAAAGCUUACACCAAAAAGCCAAUAUUUACUCGGGACACAAGUCUCGUAUAACAACACGCACCUGCUGUAUAAAAUUUACAAUUACAAUUUCCGGUUCAUUCGCAUUCUACUUUCGGAAUAGAUAUGCUUUUAGAAAAUGAUUUAAUUAAAUGAAAAAUAGUCUUACUGGUCAGAAAAUUCAUUUUUAACAUCAGCUUUUUUUCACUCGUCCUGUAGGACGAGAGCUUUAGGGAAAUUCACUCGUCCUUUCAAGAUUUCACUCGUCAAUACGAGCGGACGAGUGGAAUUUUUGUCCCCUGAAUAUGUUUCAAUUAUGGUCCUCUUCCACUUAGAAUAUGACUAUAUUACCUUGACCUUAUUGAAUAUGAACAAUUUCCCCCUGAUGGAUUACGUUAUACUGUCAAGCACUCGAAUAGCCAAGCGUGCUGUCCUCUGACAGCUCUUGUUUGUGUAGAGGUCUAUUAAAAACUGAUAAAAUUCCGGGAUUUUCUAGAUUUUCUGGUUCCUACAGGACCCCAUACAAUCACACAUCUUUACACAGCUGAACAACAACAGGCCUUCUGGACAUCCAAGGACAAUGCCUUGGUAAAGGUGUCAAGCUCUUGGUCAGGAAUUUUGGGUAAAGCUCCUACCCCCAGGGUACAGCCAGUCUAUCCAUGGAACUCCAAACUUCCCUGCUCAGGGGCCAAGACUACCUCAUCUACAAGGGACCUUAUCCUCACAAGUUCAGUCCCAGAGAAAAAUGUUACCCAACUGCAACACAGGCAAUACAUCUUAACAGAAUGUUCAUCUUGACAAUAUCUAAGCAAAGUUCAAAAUUGAAUUCCGAUCUUGCACCAGGUCGAGUCUUCUACCAAAGUUUAAUGUUUAACUCAGGUCCGUCAGUCUCUUGUGUAACAACCGAAGCUAAAGAUGAAGUGCCACAGAGAGAAAUAGAGGUCACAACAGUAAGACAUGCAGAUAUUGCUGCUUCAGUCUCAAUAGCAACAUAAGCAGCAGCAGAAGCAAAAGCAGCAACAACACCCACAAUUCAACAAUCAACAGUGCCAUUGCUGAGCUCUUUCAAAUGUCGAGGAUUACCUAAAACCACUCGGUGCCAAGCAAUGAAAUUAUCAGCUGCCACCUUGACUUGACCACUGUACACACCUGGGAGUCAGGUUUAAGGUCACAUCAGCUUAAAUGUUCACGGCAGUAAGAAAAUGUAAGAUCUUAAAGGGACUUGUUCACAGAUUGUGUGGGUAAGUUGACAGACCUCAUUGGCAUUACUAAAAAAAAUGGCAACAAUUUUAAAUGAAUAAACAUAUGACUACAACUUAUACCAAUAUAUUGCGGUACAUAGUGUAUAGUAUCGCAAUAUGCUUUUACUGCCUUGAAUACAAAUAUAAAUUACCCCAGUUUGGAAUCCAAAUAGAGGCAGUUUUUUUUAAUUUUACGUCCAUAAUUUUUAUUAUUUUAAUUAUUUUAGGUUAUUCCAUAAACUGUAUUUUAUUGGUUUUAAUAAUGUUUGUAAAAAUAUAUUGAGAACUCGAUGACCACUAUAUCUUAAAACAAAAUGACUGCAGAACAGGUCUUAAACAUUUUCCUUUAAAUAUGUCACUAUCUUUCUCAGUAAACACAAUGUCUGCAGAAAGAAUAACCUCUUUCCCUUUAAAGAAAUCUCAAUAUGUUUUUUACUGCAAACGGCUUUAUUACAGAACUGGAAUCUAUCUUUGAACAUUUUCCUGCAGUAUUCACCGUCAUUUGCAGUUAACAAGAUGACUGAACAACAUGGCAUCAAUGGCAAGGAAGAAGUGAUCAGGGGGGGUAAUCACGUGCAAGUCAAGAUGGCGACGUCCAUGCCAAGACUGAAAACCCUGAUUGCAAAGCGUAGAGUCUGCUCGGGAAGCAUUUGCACACAAGGCACAAACAUCAGCUGCAAUAAUCGUCUUGAUAUUCUGUCAUCGCCAUGGUGCAUGACCUUCAGUCUAUGAACAUAGGGAACCUUGGACACCCAUGGAUGAAAGAAAACUGGCCAAUCAAAAACACAGCCUGUUGCAACAGUGGUUACCAUAUUUACCCCAGUCAAACCUAAGAAGCUCAGAGAUAUAUACUGUUUAAGAUGUGCUAGACUCUAAACACCUCCUGGUAUGUUCAGAACUUACUCUGACAGGUUUUAUCUUUGAAUUUUGUGACGGAUGGAAAAUAAAUUAGCUUGUUCACAUCAAAUGGCAGAUUGACAUAUCACAACAAUUGAAGUGGAAAGCCAGUAAGUCAUGUCAACAGCCACAUUUCUUAUGUGACCAGCCAAGUUGUAUUCAAAGGAAAACACAAGUAUAUGUUUUUUGGGAAUUAUGAUACUGUCAGUCAUUUUAUGUAGAAAGUUUUGGUGAAAUAUAGUAUGUACAUUAUUAUCAUAAGCACACAUAUAACAAGUCUAUCCAAUGUCUUUGUCUGUAUUAUGAAUCUUUCACUACAGACUUUGAUCCUGAUAAUGAUAACAUUUUAUUUUAAGAUUGUCAAAGCUGUUUAAAUGAUGGUAGUAAAUUGGAUAAAAUUGAAAAAAUAUUUAAGUAUUUUCCUUUAAUGAAACAUGUUCAUGUUUUCUGUUUUUAUCAGUACCGUAUUUUACCAUGUAUAGCGCGCUUCCAUGUAUAACGCGCAUGCGAUUUUUUAAAGCCAAAAUGGAGAGAAAAAAAGAAUUCAAGACCAAAAACCUGAAAAUUUGGCCGAAAAUGGCCGCCAUUCUUAUAUUGCGCAAUCAUUUAAUCUGAGUUUUUCGGGCGCUUAAUUUUUUGUUUAAAAGUAGGGAGCAUUUAUACGAUCAGGAGCAUGGGUUGCAUAGCACUAUAUUUUUGACAAUUUUUAAGAUUAUUCUCUCAAGAACACCGUUAUGUCCUUAUUGCCGCGCACUGCGCAUGUUUUUUCAAGACCCCUGCGCGUUAAAUUCGAACCACUAUUACCUAUUCCUCACAUUUGAACAGUGUAACAUUUUCGUUACCUUCCGCUCACAACAUCGUAUGACAUCUUCUGCAGACCCGCAACAUCUCAAUGUCCAAUUUUACACAAAUCGUCCGUGGAUCCCAUUUUAUUUUUCAUCGACUUAAAUAUUUUCCCUUUAAAAGAUGCUCCCCAAUAAAUCCAGUUUGACCCGGUAUUUCGCGCCUGCACUGCGUCUAGUUGAUAAGUAUUUAUAGUAAGACAAAGAAUACACCCGAACGCUCAAUUCCAUACAGUUGGCGUUAUCGGCGUAAAGCCAUUUGACAAAUUUCAUUUGUUUGUCUCUAUUGAAAGAAAAUAAAACGAGUCUAUAUCUCUAUUGUUGGUUUGUAACCUACGUAGUAUACUCGCACAGUAGCAUAUUUAUGCAGAGAUCGGAAAAUCAUUGAUAAAUGUAUUCGUCGUUUCAAUGCUUAGGGCCUAGUAAUUUCGGCAAAUCGGAACUCAACUUACGUAAAACACUUGCUCAAUAAACCGUUAAACUCCACCUCCGUUAAUUCUCUGCAAAAGGUUCGAAGGCGGAGCUUUGCAUGUGCUAUUAUUUAAUUGGACGAUUGCCAUUGAGGAACAAACACACGAUUGGUUCGGCAUGUUGAUUGCUAGACAAAGGAAGCCAAUUUUGUCGGCGAGAAACUUGUCGCUUUAUUGCUUCAGACAGGAAGCGGCUUUCCUUUGAUGACGUCAAACUGUCAAUUCACAUAGAGUGCACAUUUUCGCAAUAACAUUAAACUUUGGAUUAAAUUAUCAAAAUAAAGCAAAAGCGAAGUUGAGAAAUAUUAUUGAAAUAAUUAGCCUCAGUUCAAAUAAGACGUUUUGCGUUGUAAAUCAACGAGUUUUCAUGACAACAAAAACUUUAACAAACAAUACCGCGGCGCACGGGGAUCGAUAUACCUCGAUUUUUUUUAAUGAACAAUCAAUGAAGAAGUGUGAAAAACACCAACAAAGACAUUUUUUUCAUCUUUUAAUUUUUGUCAAAACUGUUACUACCCCGGUCAUUCCUAACCUUUCCCGCUAUUUGUUGUUUCGACAACGGCCCCUUCAGUCUAUAACAUUAUAGGGUGUAGUUUCUUUGCAAUAACAAAAAUGGCGGCGAUUGUGAAGAUUUACGAUUACGAAAUGGAUUUUUAGCAAUUAAGCAACCAGGAAAGCGUUGUGUCAAUGUAUUACGCGCACUGAAUUUUUAUUUUGAAAUUUGAAGGUAAAAAACUGCGCGCUAUGCAUGGUAAAACACGGUAAUAUAGAUGUGCUCCUUAAAAAAAUUCUUCAGAAAGACUGAGAGUUAUGAAAUAUCGGUAUUGUCUAUAUAUCAAUCUUUCUGAAACAAUAUAAGUCGAUUGGCUCACCCGGGUCAGUAUUCGAUCAAGAAUCUUGUUUAGUAGCAUAAUAUUUCAUCGGAAUACAUGUAUAACUAAAUUCUGGGAAAAAUCCUUUAAUCUACCUAACAUUAUUGAUUCUGUAUUUACUAUCAGUACUUGGUUGAUUUCAAUGGCUGUGGUUUGUUAAAUGAUAAGAGUAUGACUCUUGUGUGUUAUUGGGAAAGCUUUUCAUGUAAAUGAGAAUUAAACAAAGAUGAAAGUAUUUUAUGAAAAAUGGCAUAAGUUAUGAUUGUUAGUUUGUGUUGUUAUAUCAUAGACUUACAUGCUGGUAAGUUUUAAAGUUUGUUUUUGGACAUAAUAGUUUAUUAUGCCAUAUAUUAGUAUAUGCACAUUUAGACAACUCUCUUAAAUCAGUGAGUACACAUGUAACUUAACCAAGAUCUCUGAUCACUGUAUAUUGGUAUAUUUUUGCCAUGUAUACAUAAAGCAACUGCGAAACAAUUGUAUGUUCAGUGUAAACUGUUUAUUUAGUGUUGCCAUUUUUAUGUCCCCCACUAUAGUAGUGGGGGACAUAUUGUUUUUGCCCUGUCUGUUGGUCUGUUUGCGCCAACUUUAACAUUUUGCCAUAACUUUUGCUAUAUUGAAGAUAGCAACUUCAUAUUUGGCAUGCAUGUGUAUCUCAUAAAGCUGCACAUUUUGAGUGGUGAAAGGUCAAGGUCAUCCUUCAAGGUCAGAGGUCAAAUAUAUGUGGCCAAAAUCGCUCAUUUUAUGAAUACUUUUGCAAUAUUGAAGAUAGCAACUUCAUAUUUGGCAUGCUUGUGUAUCUCAUGGAGCUGCACAUUUUGAGUGGUGAAAGGUCAAGGUCAUCCUUCAAGGUCAGAGGUCAAAUAUAUGUGGCCCAAAUCGCUUAUUUUAUGAAUACUUUUGCAAUAUUGAAGAUAGCAACUUGAUGUUUGGCAUGCAUGUGUAUCUCAUGGAGCUGCACAUUUUGAGUGGUGAAAGAUCAAGGUCAUCAUUCACAAGGUCAAGGUCAUCCUUCAAGGUCAAACGUCAUAUAGGGGGACAUUGUGUUUCACAAACACAUCUUGUUAUAAGAUAAACUCACUGUUUACAUUUAUUUGUACAAACAAUUGUUCUAAAACAACAUUUCUUUUGUAAAUGCUCAUAUACGUAUUAAACUGUUUAAAUAAUGCAGCAUGACAUAUUUUGAAGAGAAAAAGAUAGUUAAGGCAAUAUAAACACCUUGUUAUAUGCAAUGUUUUUCAUCGAAUGAAUUUUAGCAACUAUUUAAAAUGUAUUUUUUUACAUAAACUAAAGAAAAACAAAUACCUUGAAUUUUGAAAUCAGUCAAUUAAAAUUAAGGGAGAGUGAUGUCAUAUGCUAACAAUUGCCAAGAAUUGCAAUGGCCUUUAUUGGCAAUAUUAGCGAGUACUAUUAUUUGCAAAAGAUAUCUAUUUUGUUAGAUAAUAAUUGUGUUUUACAACUCAGCAUAACAAGUAAAUGCAUUUCUAAAUUUCUAAUUAUUUCGCACUAUAAACUCGGUUAUAGGGGAAUGUCUAAAAGGAUUUUGUGGAAUAAACACUUUAGAAAAUAUGUGUUUGUUUCAGGAAGUAAUAGUUUAGGUAAAAUGUGAUACUUGUUGUUACAUAAACACCAAGUGUAAUAACAAAAUGCAUCAGUAAUAACAUUAUUUGAAAAAUUACAUUUGCAUGAUCACACAAUGUGUAAAGUUGUGUAAAUGUGACGUUUAUGAAAUGUGUAUAUUUCAACAAUAAUAUUAUACUUGUAUUUAAAGUACUUGAUAAGUAUUGACGUAGAUCUAUUGCUAUUAGAGAAUUGUGUCAUUUAACUAGUUUUGUUACAGUUUGUGUAACGUUGACCAGUCCACAUAGCUGUCAGUGGAGUGAAUUCACUGGGGUUCAAUUUCCGUAAUUCUCCCAGUUUAAAACUUCAGCAUACACGUAUGUCUUAAAUCCAGAUUUCCCUACAAUUGUGGUUGUUUAUAUUGAACUUUUUUUUAAUGCAUGUGACAUGUUUGUUCUUUUUUUGAACGACUGAAAAUGACUUAAUAUGUAUACAUUGUGUGUCAUGUUUAGAUAUAUCAAAUUGAUAAAUAGAAAACAAAAUACAAAAUUUGCAAUAAUUUGUAUGCAUGCUUAGCCCCCAAAAAUGUUAUCAUACAAGCUUAUUGGUAUUGGACUAUGUUUGUACUUUAAGACGAAAUGUUUCAAUCAUGUGUGAUUUUUUUCAUUUACGUUAAAUAAACAUUUUUUAUAAGUAGAUAUAGGGUGUAUAAACUCUAUGUAGACUUCCCGGAUACAUUUCUUAAUUGCUUUUGUAAAUAUCUUCAAUAUUUGACAUUACUGUUAAGGGUAUUUUUAGCUCGGCUGUUUUCGGAAAAAAAACGAGGUAUUGUCAUAGCCAGUUCGUUGUGUCGUCCGACGUCCCCGUCGUGCUAAAACCUUGACAUUUUGCUCUAAAAUCAAAGUGCUUCCACCUAAAACUUUGAAACUUCAUAUGUAGAUGCACAUUGAUGAGUUCUACAAGCCACACCUAUUUUGGGGUCACUAGGUCAAAGGUCAAGGUUACGGUGACCUCUUAAAAAAACAAAUUCGUACAAGCUUUCAUUCAUUCAAAACUGCACCCGCAGCCGAGCGUGGCACCCAUUAUGGGGUGCUCUUGUUAUAGUAAACAUGUACAUGUUUCUCUAAACUGUCAACGGGUGUCGGUUCAAGUUAUUGUGAUUUGUUAAUUUUGUAUUGCUAAUUUAAUGAAAUAUUGUGUAUAGUCUUACAUUGUUUUUGUUAUUAGACAAAGCACAUUCCAUAACUCAUGUUUAUUAUGCCCCCCUUCGAAGAAGAGGGGGUAUAUUGCUUUGCUCAUGUCGGUCUGUCUGUCGGUCGGUCCGUCCACCAGGUGGUUGUCAGACAAUAACUCAAGAACGCUUAGGCCUAUGAUCAUGAAACUUCAUAGGUACAUUGGUCAUGACUCACAGAUGACCCCUAUUGAUUUUGAGGUCACUAAGUCAAAGGUCAAGGUCACUGUGACCCGAAAUAGUACAAUGGUUUCCGGAUGAUAAUUGAAGAACGCUUAUUCCUAGGAUCAUGAAACUUCAUAGGUAGAUUGAUCAUUACUAGCAGAUGACCCCUAUUGAUUUUCAGGUCACUAGGUCAAAGGUCAAGGUCACGGUGACCCGAAAUAGUAAAUUGGUUUCCGGAUGAUAACUCAAGAACGCUUAUGCCUAGGGUCAUGAAACUUCAUAGGUACAUUGAUCAUGACUGGCAGAUGACCCCUAUUGAUUUUCAGGUCACUAGGUCAAAGGUCAAGGUCACAGUGACCCGAAAUAGUAAAAUGGUUUCCUGAUGAUAACUCAGGAAAGCUUAUGGCUAGGAUCAUGAAACUUCAUAGGUACAUUGAUCAUGACUCGCAGAUGACCCCUAUUGAUUUUCAGGUUACUAGGUCAAAGGUCAAGGUCACAGUGACAAAAAACAUAUUUACAAAAUGGCUGUCACUACAACUAAGAGCCCAUAUGGGGGGCAUGCAUGUUUUACAAACAGCCCUUGUCAUGUUUAUUUUCGUCCACUAUUUCUAUAACCAGUGUUUUGUCUGUAGAAGUUACAAUAUACUUAAUAUUGCAGUUGUGCAAUGCAAUAUGCUUUACUUUCUAAAUAAAUCAACACCAUUUA